rnacentral:misc_RNA from 1 species
UCUCCGUAGGUGAACCUGCGGAGGGAUCAUUACAGAGUUCAUGCCCUACCGGGUAGAUCUCCCACCCUGUGUUAUUAUUACUUUGUUGCUUUGGCGGGCCGUUAGGCCCCGGCCCGACUACCGGCCCCGGCUGGUAAGCGCCCGCCAGAGGACCCAAAACCCUGAAUAUUAGAGUCGUCUGAGUACUAUAUAAUAGUUAAAACUUUCAACAACGGAUCUCUUGGUUCUG